GAACCUCGCUCGUCGACCUACUACUUCGGCUCCUGAUGACACCGACGACGAGAGUGAUGAGGAUGAUUAUGUAGAUCUCACUCCCUAGUUUAGAUCUCUGGACAUUUAUGAACUUUUGAAAUUUUAAAACGAAUUUUAAAAGACUUUAUAAGUCUUUAAUUUAUGAUUUAGAUACUUUUGAAUGUUAUUUUAAGUUUAUUAUUUUAUGUUUUGUUUAGAUUGUUUAUAAUUGUGUGUUUGAUUGGGCUGAAUAGUGAAGAAUUGAAUUGAAUUGCAUUUGCAGGUGGGCAG
rnacentral:lncRNA from 1 species